CCAGCAGCUGCGGUAAUUCCAGCUCCAAUAGCGUAUAUUAAAGUUGUUGCAGUUAAAAAGCUCGUAGUUGGAUUUCAAGAGACGCAGCGUGGAUAACACGUCUGCCCUCUACCAGUCUUAGACUGUUACUGUGAGAAAAUUAGAGUGUUUCAAGCAGGCUGUUGCAGGAAUACAUUAGCAUGGAAUAAUGGAAUAGGACUACGGUCUCUUUGUUGGUUGAGGGGCUGCAGUAAUGAUUAAUAGGGAUAGUUGGGGGCAUUAGUACUUAACUGUCAGAGGUGAAAUUCUCGGAUUUGUUAAAGACUAACUUAUGCGAAAGCAUUUGCCAAGGAGGUUUUCAUUAAUCAAGAACGAAAGU
rnacentral:rRNA from 1 species